AUGCCAUGGUGUGGACAUUCCCUCUAUCGAUCUUUAUAUCUCUCCCAUGUGUCAUAGAGUGAUUCACCUUCCUUUUGCCUAAAGGUGUUGAGGUCAACCUUCAGUUU